AGAGUUUGAUCCUGGCUCAGAACGAACGCUGGCGGCAUGCCUAACACAUGCAAGUCGAACGAGACCUUCGGGUCUAGUGGCGCACGGGUGCGUAACGCGUGGGAAUCUGCCCUUAGGUUCGGAAUAACUUCGGGAAACUGAAGCUAAUACCGGAUGAUGACGUAAGUCCAAAGAUUUAUCGCCUAAGGAUGAGCCCGCGUUGGAUUAGCUAGUUGGUGAGGUAAAAGGCUCACCAAGGCGACGAUCCAUAGCUGGUCUGAGAGGAUGAUCAGCCACACUGGGACUGAGACACGGCCCAGACUCCUACGGGAGGCAGCAGUGGGGAAUAUUGGACAAUGGGCGAAAGCCUGAUCCAGCAAUGCCGCGUGAGUGAUGAAGGCCUUAGGGUUGUAAAGCUCUUUUACCCGGGAUGAUAAUGACAGUACCGGGAGAAUAAGCCCCGGCUAACUCCGUG
rnacentral:rRNA from 1 species